rnacentral:antisense_RNA from 1 species
CUUGAUCGAGCCGAGCCACAGGGGUGCCGAGCGGUCCUGGCCGUAGGUCGCCAGCAGGGCCUGCGCCUC